rnacentral:rRNA from 1 species
CAGAACUUUCCGGCGCUGGCCUAAACCUUGCAAGUCGAGCGGACAGAACGGAGCUUGCUCCGUUCAAGUUAGCGGCGGACGGGUGAGUAACACGUGGGCAACCUGCCCUGCAGAUUGGGAUAACUCCGGGAAACCGGGGCUAAUACCGAAUAACAUUGGAAACCUCAUGGUUUCCUUUUAAAAGGCGGCUUCCGCUGUCACUGCAAGAUGGGCCCGCGGCGCAAUAGCUAGUUGGUGAGGUAACGGCUCACCAAGGCGACCAUGCGUAGCCCACCUGAGAGGGUGAUCGGCCACACUGGGACUGAGACACGGCCCAGACUCCUACGGGAGGCAGCAGUAGGGAAUCUUCCGCAAUGGACGAAAGUCUGACGGAACAACGCCCCGUGAGUGAAGAAGGUUUUCGGAUCGUAAAACUCUUUUGUCAGGGAAGAACAAGUACGGGAGUAACUGCCCGUACCUUGACGGUACCUGGCCAGAAAGCCACGGCUAACUACGUGCCAGCAGCCGCGGUAAUACGUAAGUGGCAAGCGUUGUCCGGAAUUAUUGGGCGUAAAGCGCGCGCAGGCGGCCUUUUAAGUCUGAUGUGAAAGCCCACGGCUCAACCGUGGAGGGUCAUUGGAAACUGGAAGGCUUGAGUGCAGAAAAAAAAAGCGGAAUUCCACGUGUAGCGGUGAAAUGCGUAAAGAUGUGGAGGAACACCAGUGGCGAAGGCGGCUCUUUGGUCUGUAACUGACGCUAAGGCGCGAAAGCGUGGGGAGCGAACAGGAUUAGAUACCCUGGUAGUCCACGCCUUAAACGAU